rnacentral:tRNA from 1 species
UAAUAUAGGGGUUCCUAACCCAUAAUUAGAUUUACAGUCUAACACUUUUAUCAGCCACUAUAUUG